CCAGAACUGGCUCAACUCCCAUCAUGCCAAGUUCCCAGAGGAGAUCACCCAGCUCAUCACGCUAGAGCACUUUUACAAGGGGCUCCCCGAAGACAAGGUGACGACGCAUUCGUAUGUCAUCCAUAUCAACUUUUGAUGCCACUUUCUGCACCUACCAUGGUGACCACGGGUAACGGGGAAUCAGGGUUCGAUUCUGGAGAGGGAGCCUGAGAAACGGCUACCACAUACAAGGAAGGCAGCAGGCAGGCAAAUGACCCACUCCCGACGCGGGAAGGUUGUGACAACAACUAAUACUGGACUCUUUAGAGGCCCUGUAAUUGUAAUGAGUCUACUUGAAAUCCUUUAACUCUGAUCAAUUGGAGGGCAAGUCUGGUGCAGAGUGACUGACCUGUGCGUGCUGCAGAUGAAACUCCACUAUCGCCUGCU
rnacentral:rRNA from 1 species